rnacentral:rRNA from 1 species
UUGGAGGGCAAGUCUGGUGCCAGCAGCCGCGGUAAUUCCAGCUCCAAUAGCGUAUAUUAAAGUUGUUGCAGUUAAAAAGCUCGUAGUUGAAUUUCGGGGUCAGUAGGUUGGUCAUGCCACUGGUAUGUACUGGUCUCACUGAUUCCUCCUUCCUGAUGAGCCGUAAUGCCAUUAAUUUGGUGUUGCGAGGAAUCUGGACUGUUACUUUGAAAAAAUUAGAGUGUUUAAAGCAAGCUAACGCUUGAAUACAUUAGCAUGGAAUAAUGAAAUAGGACGUUCGAUCCUAUUUUGUUGGUUUCUAGGAUUGACGUAAUGAUUAAUAGGGAUAGUUGGGGGCAUUAGUAUUCAAUUGUCAGAGGUGAAAUUCUUGGAUUUAUUGAAGACUAACUACUGCGAAAGCAUUUGCCAAGGAUGUUUUCAUUAAUCAAGAACGAAAGUUAGGGGAUCGAAGACGAUCAGAUACCGUCGUAGUCUUAACCAUAAACUAUGCCGACUAGGGAUCGGAUGAUGUUAAUUUUUUAAUGACUCAUUCGGCGCCUUACGGGAAACCAAAGUGUUUGGGUU